AUUAUUUUCUAUAAGAAAUUUCAUCAUUUUUUUCUUAAAAGUAAAUAAGCUACCCGAGUUUCUUAUAUCAGACGAUAGUGAAUUCCAUAUUAUAGGGCCACGAUAAAGUAUAGUAAUUUUUUUUAGAUUCGUACGACAAGCGUGAGGCCGAUAAUUAUUUGCUGAUCUGGUAUUGUAACUAUGUAUCUGACUGUUACAUUGGAACAGAUCAUGGAAUACAGGUGGUAAAAUUUCAUUAUGAUAACAAAACAUGAAUCUGGCAAUGUACAGUGAAUUAACUGGAAAAUGUUUAAUAAAAUGCCUAAUUUCAUAAAUAGAGGUGCUGUAUGCGCACGGAAAUCAGAAUUUGUAAUAUAUUCUAUUCAAUUUUGUAACAUAGGUGGACGACCAUACCAUGUUGCAAUAUGUAAUGAAGGGAUAAACCAGUGUGUAAUACAAUGACAAUUUAGUUUUACAAGAUAAAUAAAAACG